rnacentral:rRNA from 1 species
CCUACGGGCGGCAGCAGUGAGGAAUAUUGGUCAAUGGGCGUAAGCCUGAACCAGCCAUGUCGCGUGAGGGAUGAAGGUUCUAUGGAUCGUAAACCUCUUUUAUAAGGGAAUAAAGUGUGGGACGUGUCUUGUUUUUUAUGUACCUUAUGAAUAAGGAUCGGCUAACCUCGUGCCAGCAGCGGCGGUAAUACGGAGGGUCCGUGAGUUAUCCGGAUUGAUUGGGUUUAAAGGGUGCGUAGGCGGCCGUUUAAGUCAGCGGUGAAAGUAUGUGGCUCAACCAUAGAAUGGCCUUUGAAACUGGGGGGCUUGAGUGUGGUUGAGGCAGGUGGAAUGCGUGGUGUAGCGGUAAAAUGCUGAGAUAUCACGCAGAACCCCGGUUGCGAAGGCAGCCUCCCGAGCCAUGACUGACGCUGAUGCACGAAAGCGUGGGGAUCAAACAGGAUUAGAUACCCUAGUAGUC